rnacentral:rRNA from 1 species
UCGAGCGAGGCGGGGAGCAAUCCCCAGUCGAGCGGCGAACGGGUGAGUAACGCGUGGAUGACCUGCCCUUUAGUGGGGAAUAACCCGGGGAAACUCGGGCUAAUACCGCAUACGACCGAGAGGUGAAAGAGGGGAGCAAUCCUCUUGCUAAAGGAGGGGUCCGCGUUCGAUUAGCUAGUUGGUAGGGUAAUGGCCUACCAAGGCGACGAUCGAUAGCCGGCCUGAGAGGGUGAUCGGCCACACUGGAACUGAGACACGGUCCAGACUCCUACGGGAGGCAGCAGUGGGGAAUUUUGCGCAAUGGGCUAACGCCUGACGCAGCAACGCCGCGUGGAGGAUGAAGGUCUUUGGAUUGUAAACUCCUGUCAGCAGGGAAAAAGGGAACCGGCCUAAUACGCCGGUGACUUGAUUGUACCUGCAGAGGAAGCCCCGGCUAACUCUGUGCCAGCAGCCGCGGUAAUACAGAGGGGGCAAGCGUUA